rnacentral:rRNA from 1 species
UCUACGUGAGGCAGCAGUGGGGAAUAUUGCACAAUGGGGGAAACCCUGAUGCAGCGACGCCGCGUGAGUGAAGAAGUAAUUCGUUAUGUAAAGCUCUAUCAGCAGGGAAGAAAAUGACGGUACCUGAGUAAGUAGCCCCGGCUAAAUACGUGCCAACAGCCGCGGUACUAAGUAGGGGUCAAGGGUUACCCGGAUUUUUUGGGGGUAAAGGGUGGGUAGGGGGUUUAGAAAGUCAGGAGGGAAAGCCCGGGGCCUAACCCCGGGACUGCUUUUGACACGGUUGAACUAGAUUGCAGGAGAGGUAAGUGGAAUUCCUGGUGUAGCGGUGAAAUGCGUAGAUAUUAGGAGGAACACCAGUGGCGAAGGCGGCUCACUGGACUGUAAAUGACGCUGAGGCUCGAAAGCGUGGGGAGCAAACAGGAUUAGAUACCCUGGUAGUC